rnacentral:rRNA from 1 species
UACGUAGAGAGCAAGCGUUGUCCGGAAUCAUUGGGCGUAAAGGGUACGCAGGCGGUCUAGUAAGUCAGAGGUGAAAUCCACCGGCUCAACCGGUGAACUGCCUUUGAUACUGCUAGACUUGAGGAUAAGAGAAGAAAACGGAAUUCCUAGUGUAGCGGUGAAAUGCGUAGAUAUUAGGAAGAAUACCAAUGGCGAAAGCAGUUUUCUAACUUAUUCCUGACGCUCAGGUACGAAAGCUAGGGUAGCAAACGGGAUUAGAUACCCCGGUAGUCCUAGCCGUAAACGAUGGAUACUAGGUGUUGGGGGUUCGACCCCCUCGGUGCCGCAGUUAACGCAUUAAGUAUCCCGCCUGGGGAUUACGACCGCAAGGUUGAA